rnacentral:rRNA from 1 species
AUUGAACGCUGGCGGCAUGCUUUACACAUGCAAGUCGAACGGCAGCGCGGGCUUCGGCCUGGCGGCGAGUGGCGAACGGGUGAGUAAUACAUCGGAACGUGCCCAGUAGUGGGGGAUAGCUCGGCGAAAGCCGGAUUAAUACCGCAUACGACCUGAGGGUGAAAGCGGGGGAUCUUCGGACCUCGCGCUAUUGGAGCGGCCGAUGGCAGAUUAGCUAGUUGGUGGGUUAAAGGCCUACCAAGGCGACGAUCUGUAGCUGGUCUGAGAGGACGACCAGCCACACUGGGACUGAGACACGGCCCAGACUCCUACGGGAGGCAGCAGUGGGGAAUUUUGGACAAAGGGCGAAAGCCUGAUCCAGCAAUGCCGCGUGUGUGAUGAAGGCCUUCGGGUUGUAAAGCACUUUUGGCGGGAACGAAAAGGACUGUGCCAAUACCACGGUUCGAUGACGGUACCCGCAGAAUAAGCACCGGCUAACUACGUG